UGUUGUGUAUGUUGGCUAUGGUGGGUUUAGGUUCACCGUUAGGAGUAAGAUACAUCUAGAUGGAAUCUAUCGAUCUUGAUAGAAAAAGAGAAGUCCUAUAUAAUUCGUGAGACUGAGUUCAAAAAAUCUUUGGCCAAAGCAAGUGUGAAUACUGGAAAAGAGUUUUCAUGAGAUUCACAAGAGAACUUGAGUCAAGCCAACCUGAUAUAUGAUUGAUGUU
rnacentral:lncRNA from 1 species